GACCACAUGCGAAAUAAUUCAUACAGAGUAGAGAAAUAAUUUUGUAGCCAAGUCGUCUCGCGUUUUUUUCCCUGGGCCCCUGGCUUGAUCAGGUAGAACGUUUACGUAAAUGCGAGAGAAACUGGCAGUUUUGGUAUGAAAUUUCGUAUCUUAACUAAAACGUUCGGUUUGGGAACGUUUCUAAUUGUCUUUCUUUCAAAUAUCAUUUUGAAGACAUCACAAAAUUUAUAAUAAUGGUCAAAAAUGGCAAUAAUGGCAAUAAUGGCGAACAUGAUCAUUUUCCAAAAAAGCAUGCGGGCGGGGAUGAGAAACUAAUAUACAACAAAUAGUGGCCUUAU